rnacentral:misc_RNA from 1 species
AGCACAAGAAAAUGCUCCAUUUAUGCUGAUCGUCCCUACUUUUGUCGAGUUGAACCUGCCAUCUUUGAGACACUCUAUGGGAUUGAAACGAACAAGUUCAACAAGGAAGCUUGCAGUUGUUGCAUAGACACAAUUAAAGCAGUGUACGGAUCAACCUCAAAGGAGUUGGAGAAUUUCAAUGCUGCAAUAUGGAGUUCAACUUAGUUCUGCAUUCUAUUUCAUGAGGUGAAUCAUUUUGGUGGUUUUCUGUGUCGAUCAGCGUUUGCAGCCUGUUGCAGUUGCUAGGCAGAUCGAUGAACCAUCCUAGUCGAUGCAAGAUGUUGGUGAUUUAGCCGAGAUCGUCUUCUCUAAGAACAAGAAUACAGUGAGACAGUAGCUUCAGUGAGUAGACCUAUGUUUUCUAGUGUCAGAUUUCAUUGUAUGGCCAAUCUUUUAUCAGAAUUUGUGGAAGAAGACUUAAUCAG